rnacentral:lncRNA from 1 species
GCCCUGAAGAAGCAGCCAUCCUAUAUUGGAGGACAUGAGGGCUUAGAAUUAAGAGAUUAUCAACUGAAUGGUUUAAAUUGGCUUGCUCAUUCUUGGUGCAAGUAAGUAUAUUUUGAAUCAUCUAUUUAAUUUGACAGAGUAAGAAUUUACCAAUACAGGAUUCAGAAAAGAUUUCCAUUUACAUAAAGAAUAAGACUCUUUGGCAGUUUAUAUGCUAGUCUUUGUAUUUCCUAGUUUGUAUAAACAAUACUUACUACAUACUAGGAAGAAAAUCCAGUGGAGUUGGAGUUUAACUUGAUUGUUGCCUUUUUAAAAUAUGUUUUUAUUCAGUUUAAAAAUCAAAAUGCAUAUCU